CCCUUAGAUGUUCUGGGCCGCACGCGCGCUACACUGAUGCAUUCAACGAGUCUAAAACCUGCUCUGAUAGGGGUGGGUAAUCUUUUGAAUGUGCAUCGUGAUUGGGAUAGAUGACUGCAAUUUUUCAUCUUCAACGAGGAAUGCCUAGUAAACGCAAGUCAUCAGCUUGCAUUGAUUACGUCCCUGCCCUUUGUACACACCGCCCGUCGCUCCUACCGAUUGAAUGAUCCGAUGAAUAUCAUGGAUUGAGGAUGCAAGUAGGUUCGCCUAUCUUCAUCUUCGAGAAGUGAAGUAAAUCUUAUCAUUUAGAGGAAGGAGAAGUCGUAACA
rnacentral:rRNA from 1 species